UGCAGUUGUACCGGUCGCUCUUCCCUCCUCGCUCGUCUCUCCCUCCCGCCCUCUCUUUUGUCCGCUUAGAUCUCUAUUCUUCUUUGCAAAUCCCUGGAGAAGUUGUAUAACAUUCCAGCCCCUCAAAAUCCUCGACGAACAACGGCUUCUCGGCCGUAGUUGCGCCUACAAAUUGCGCUUUUAAGUUCAUUCUGCAGACCAAGCUUCGCAGGUAAGUCCAUGGAGAAGGAGCAGGGUUUCUUCUCGGCUCUGAAGGAGGAAGUGGUACGGGGGUUGUCUCCUGCACGGUUGCGGGAGAGGAGCUCGGGGAGGGGCCAGUCACCGGUGGCGGAGGCCGCGGCGAUGCUGCUGCCGCGGCGGAGGAAGGCUCAUGGUCGCCACUCGUCGCUGACGCUGGCCCCGGACGCUGCCGUGCUGGUUGCGAGGUCCGUGAGCUUUCGGGAGACCCUUGCCCCCCUCAUGGAGGGCCCCGACGAUGGAGGCGACGGAGACGUCGGUGGCGGCCAGAGGAAGGAAGGGUGGGGCCGCUGGGUGCGGGACCAGCUGUCACGGGCCCCCUCCGUCACGUAUUUUCCUUCCGCCGCCGCUAACGCGUCCACCUCGUUCCGCCGCUCCGACCUCCGCCUCCUUCUCGGAGUCAUGGGUGCGCCGCUCGCCCCCGUUCAUGUCAACUCUGCCGACCUUCUGCCUCACCUCACCAUCAAGGAUGCUCCCAUUGAAGUCUCGUCGGCUCAGUACAUACUGCAGCAGUACACGGCGGCCUCGGGGGGUCUGAAGCUCCAGAGAUCCAUCCACAACGCCUACGCCAUGGGGAAGUUGAGAAUGGCAGCGUCCGAGUUCGAGACAGCGACCAAAAUCGUGAAGAACCGUGGCAGCUCAUCGCACUCCCCCGAGUCUGGUGGCUUCGUCCUCUGGCAGAUGGCCCCAGGAAUGUGGUACGUGGAGCUCGCCGUCGGCGGCAGCAAGGUCCACGCCGGCUCCAAUGGCAAGGUCGUAUGGCGUCACACCCCCUGGCUCGGCGCCCAUGCCGCCAAAGGCCCCGUUCGGCCCCUCCGCCGUGCCCUCCAGGGUCUUGAUCCAUUGACCACAGCAAGCAUGUUUGCCAAUGCACGUUGUAUUGGGGAAAAGAAAGUCAAUGGGGAGGAUUGCUUCAUUCUCAAGCUCUGUGCCGACCCACAGACGCUGAAAGCUCGGAGUGAAGGUCCUGCAGAGAUCAUUCGGCACGUCUUGUUCGGCUGCUUCAGUCAGCGGACCGGGCUUCUCGUCCACAUGGAAGAUUCACACUUGACUAGAAUCCAAGCCAAUGCCGGAGGUGAUGCAGUGUACUGGGAGACCACCAUUAACUCCUUCCUCAGCGACUACCGCCCCGUUGAAGGUAUAAUGGUUGCCCAUUCGGGUCGUUCCGAUGUCACUCUCUUCAGGUUCGAUGAGACGGCAAUGAGCCAUACUAAAACUAGGAUGGAGGAGGAGUGGAAGAUCGAGGAAGUGGUCUUUAAUGUCCCCGGCCUCUCCAUGGACUGCUUCAUUCCUCCUGCUGACAUAAGCUGCGGUUCAGUCAGUGAAAGUUGUGAGCUUCCUCGUGGGGAUAGAGGGAAGACCGGUAUUGCACACCAGAGAAAGGUUGCAGCUGUUGGGAAGCCACAAGAUGCGAGUGAUAAGAUCAUUUGGAGGGUCAAAGUUUAGUAGUGUUAGGGCCAUGAACAAGGCGCUGAUGCUAUUGUUCAUAUCACCACAUUUUCUUGCGCUUACAACAAAGUAUAAGUUAUUUGAUGCAAAUUUUAGGUAGCACUGAGAGGCUUGGUAAUAGGGGUUGUCCUAUGUAUAUAAGAGCAUAAUUGUUCACAGGUCUUAAUUCUCAUCGGCCUGGCUGAAUACUUAUACUCUGAUUGCAGUAAGUGUCUUAGGAUUGGUAAGAUUGAAUUGGGAGAGAUGCUUUCUUCCUAUAUUCUCAGGUUCAACUACAUUGUCGCUAUUAUGCCUUUCUGCUUUUUGAUUCUGAUACUGACUUGGAUUUUGGAAUUCCAGUGUCCAGAUCUGCUUUCAAAUUUGAGAUAUUUAAGGCUUAAACUUUUCUGUCUUCAAUCUCUUCAAUCUUCAGGAUGAUCAUGCAAGGACUGGCACCUUCAAAUUAUAGUUUAAUUAUUGGUCGAGUAAUUCAAAUCUAUAGAUGUUAUGUAGUUCUCCACAGAUACUAGAACUCCUUGUCGAUCGUAUUCAGAGAUCUUCUAGGGUUGUGUACUUCUGCUAGAUCUACUGGUAGAAGUUUUAAUUAGCUCAUAAAUCAACUUCAAUUACAUGUAAGUCUCUUUACCUUUGUGUGUAAUUUAUAUUGAUCUCUAAUUUCCAGGCCUUGUGUCUCAUGCUUUGAUCAUCCUUCUAUCUGAUGGUCUAAUCUUUCUCUUGUUGUGGGACAACACCUGAGAGUGUUGGUCACUGGAAAAGAGGUCCACUGGUCAUGUCCAGAUGGUGCCUUGGGAAUGGUGGCAUUUACCAGUCUUUAUUUACCUUUGUUGACCAAGACCCAGAACCUUGUGCUUUGCCUUGGGCCAGGGUAAUGUAAAAAGCAUCAUUGCAUCAAGGACAUGAGGAUCUCAAGGCCAUGUGGUAUCCCAUCUCAUUCAUUGCCUUGUUAUUUUUCACCCAGAUCUUUGGGUGAAUCUGAUAUGUUCACUACCUCUGCAGAUGCUGUCCAUCUCCUCCCUAAUCUGACCAUAUGAGAUGCCUCAUAUUUGUUCCACUGGGGGGAUCUUGCACUUCUUGAUGCUUCAAGCUGAUUCUUUUAUCUCCUAAUCAGUGGGUCUACACAAAAUUCUGCAAUAUUCAGGUAUUUUGAUUCUUUUGAGCUCAUGCCAGUCCCAUGAUCAUACUGUCACAAGUGAGUACCCAUCUUUUAGUCUUCCAAGGAGUCAAAGUUACAGUCACCAAGCAUGUACUGGAAAACCCAAAAAGAAAAAACUACAGAAGAAGAAUAAAAUACAAUGGUUAUGCCCAAGUGCCCAAGUACCAGUUAAAAUGUAUAUAAUUGGUAGCGUGGUAUCAGCCAAUUAGCAUUUUGUAGCUACUGACAUAUCACACUGACUCAGUCCCGGUGAACUUUCAGCCAUCUUUGACAGGCAUUAACAGUGGCACCUAUAUCCCCAUGUGCUUCGUCCUCCCACAGUUGCACAAAAUGAAUGACACAGGAAAACAAUGUAGGCAGAUAAAGUUUACCCUCCAUCGGACAAAGUAUACAGUCCUGCAAUGUAUCGAGUGCUGAAGAAAUUGACACUGAUGAUGGUAUGUUGACACCUUUUCCUCUCAAAUCCCAAGUGAAAUGCUGAUGGGAAUGCUUGUCUUUAUCCUGGGACAUACAGUAGCAAAUUAAUGGAACUGUUACGGAUACUAAGCUGCAAGUCCCUCACCCAACACUGAUGUUUUCUUGAAGAUCAACGAGGCAGAUCAGCUUAUAGGAUUUGGGUGUUCAUCAGACAACAACUGAAACUUUUGAGUUGAUCGGGAGUUGGAAGGUAGGAGACACGAGUGCGAGGAAGAUUGCGAGUUUCCCUGAGCUAGAAAAGAUCCUUGAUGUGCUGCGAUGAGAGUGAGCUUCAUCCGGUCAAGGGUCUACAAAUUUCAACGCCAUACACACACUUCUGUUGAUGCCGAGAUUAUGGACCGGAAAUGCAAGGUGGAAGAUAAGUAGGAGAUACAGACAAGACGUAUGUACUGUUUUCCCUGCAAAGUUUCGGUGGCUAUUGCUUCUGCUGAUCGAAAUUCUAGUACUAACAGUGACUGAUAUCUGUUAAGCUGAGACAUCCUCUGCUUCUGCAGCCCCAUCUUAAGCUAAUGUAAGUUGAUGUGCAUGCCUCUAUUCUCAGAAGAUUAGUGCCAUCUACCUUAUAAUACUGAAUAA